rnacentral:lncRNA from 1 species
CUUACAUUUACAGAAAAAUAAAUGAAAGCAACAUGUUAAUAUGUUCAGAAGACUGAAUGUAUUUAGUAUGUUAAGAGAAACUUACUAAAAUGUAACUAAAUAAAUAUAAAACUAAUGCUAACAUUAGUUAUCAUAUCAUAUUAUUUAAAUAAUAUUAAAAUGACACUGGUUUACCAUCAAAACAAGAGCACAUUUGUGAACUUAGUUUAAGUUAAAACUCUAAAAUUACUAACUGGUAAUAAAAUAAAUUAAAGUUAAAACUAAAUAAAUAAUUAUAAAAAUGAAAAAAAAAACACACACCACAAAAACAUCUUACUAAAAUUAAUAUAGAAAAUAUAACUAAUUUAAAAAUAUUAAUAAAAACUCUCAAUGAUACUAAAAUAAAUGACAUGAUUUUAAAUUAGUUUUAGAGGUGGAGCAAGUUUUUACAUUUUGAUUAUUGGGAUAAAAUAUUUUUAUUUAGAAUUAGGUGUACACUGCUUUUUAAAGACUUAGGGUCAGUGCAUCAUGUGACACUGAAGACUGGGGUAAUGAUACUGAAAAUUCAGCUUUACAUCACAGGAGUAAAUUACAUUUUACAAUAUAUUCAAAUAGAAAACAGUUAUUUUAAAUUGUAAUAUUUCACCUUUUUUUGAUCAAAUAAAUGCAGACUUAGUGAGCAGAAGAGUAUAUUAAUAAAAUAAAAUCUCGGUUUUGAUUUCAGUUGUCGGUUCUCUCACUUAUUUAUUGACUUGACAAUUUGUAAUUUCUCUGUUCCGCUUGACAGAUCCUGCACUUCACGAGCAAAAAAGACUCAUGUCGUCAGAAAUUAUACAGCACAUGGAGAGUGACUUUUAUGAUUUUGAGAUGAACUGCGGUCUGCUGCUGCUUCAGACAGAUGAUGCUUCCUCCAGCUAUUUACUGUUGUGAUGAGGCAUCUUCCAGCUAUAUAUAGUAUAAUGAUAAAAGAUUUCAUUGGAACAUGCAGAAGAGUGUCAGGGAGCAUUCAAAGGUCUGCUACAAAAUCCCACCGCUUUCAUACGAAGAGAAGUACAGCUCUAACAGCUGACAUCAUGGGGUUCUGCAUUUCUGCCUGAGGUACCAUCGCUAAUGGCUGCGAGGCUGUUCGAGAUCUACAGCUCCAA